UGAUCACAGAAGUACAGUGUACUCACACUUGGAAGGAACAGGCAGUAGAGAAGACGACAGAGCAGCCAUGGGCUAAGCAAUGUCUCCCAGGAGGGCAGAUGGGUUACAGUGCUGUGAAGCAGAAAGAGCAGGAAACGCGGUCUAAUAGGGCUCAGGGUGCGAGUCUCUAGGGAGGUUCUUGCCAGGAACCCGGGUGGAGUAGAGGGAGGAAGUAAGGGAAAGAGGGGGUCUGCGUUUUGAGAAAAAGAAAAGCAUCAAGGCUUGCAUACUGGGGAAGUUUCUUCAGAAUUAGAGAAAACCAUCAAGCACAGAAGAACCCCGCGGCUGCCUGGCUGUGGAGAAGGCGGUAGAGGUGGAGUCUGUCGAUGGGACGCACCAGUGGAAGGAGGGAGGAAAGAAGACUGAGAGUGGAGAAUCUGUUUCCCUGUCCCCCCUGCAGGGUCGCUGGCCCCUGG